AGUGAACGCUGGCGGUAGGCCUAACACAUGCAAGUCGAACGGCAGCACAGUAAGAGCUUGCUCUUACGGGUGGCGAGUGGCGGACGGGUGAGGAAUACAUCGGAAUCUACUUUUUCGUUGGGGUUAACGUAGGGAAACUUACGCUAAUACCGCAUACGACCUACGGUUGAAAGCAGUGGAUCUUCUGACCUUGCGCGAUUGAAUGAGCCGAUGUCGGAUUAGCUAGUUGGCUGGGUAAAGGCCCACCAAGGCGACGAUCCGUAGCUGGUCUGAGAGGAUGAUAAGCCACAAUGGAACUGAGACACGGUCCAGACGCCUACGGGAGGCAGCAGUGGGGAAUAUUGGACAAUGGGCGAAAGCAUGAUCCAGCAAUACCGCGUGGGUGAAGAAGGCCUUAGGGUUGUAAAGACCUUUUGUUGGGAAAGAAAAGCAGCAGGUUAAUACCACGCUGUUCUGACGGUACCCAAAGAAUAAGCACCGGCUAACUUCGUG
rnacentral:rRNA from 1 species